AACGAACGCUGGCGGCAUGCCUAACACAUGCAAGUCGAACGAAGCCUUCGGGCUUAGUGGCGCACGGGUGCGUAACACGUGGGAAUCUGCCCUUCGGUUCGGAAUAACAGUUAGAAAUGACUGCUAAUACCGGAUGAUGACGAAAGUCCAAAGAUUUAUCGCCGAAGGAUGAGCCCGCGUAGGAUUAGGUAGUUGGUAGGGUAAUGGCCUACCAAGCCGACGAUCCUUAGCUGGUCUGAGAGGAUGAUCAGCCACACUGGGACUGAGACACGGCCCAGACUCCUACGGGAGGCAGCAGUGGGGAAUAUUGGACAAUGGGCGAAAGCCUGAUCCAGCAAUGCCGCGUGAGUGAUGAAGGCCUUAGGGUUGUAAAGCUCUUUUACCAGGGAUGAUAAUGACAGUACCUGGAGAAUAAAGCUCCGGCUAACUCCGUGCCAGCAGCCGCGGUAAAGUCUGUACU
rnacentral:rRNA from 1 species